rnacentral:rRNA from 1 species
GACGAACGCUGGCGGCGUGCUUAACACAUGCAAGUCGAACGGAAAGGCCCUGCUUUUGUGGGGUGCUCGAGUGGCGAACGGGUGAGUAACACGUGAGUAACCUGCCCUUGACUUUGGGAUAACUUCAGGAAACUGGGGCUAAUACCGGAUAGGAGCUCCUGCUGCAUGGUGGGGGUUGGAAAGUUUCGGCGGUUGGGGAUGGACUCGCGGCUUAUCAGCUUGUUGGUGGGGUAGUGGCUUACCAAGGCUUUGACGGGUAGCCGGCCUGAGAGGGUGACCGGCCACAUUGGGACUGAGGUACGGCCCAGACUGCUACGGGAGGCAGCAGGGGGGAAUAUUGCAGAAUGGGCGGAAGCCUGAUGCAGCAACGCCGCGUGCGGGAUGACGGCCUUCGGGUUGUAAACCGCUUUCGCCUGUGACGAAGCGUGAGUGACGGUAAUGGGUAAAGAAGCACCGGCUAACUACGUG